rnacentral:rRNA from 1 species
UACGUAGGGUGCGAGCGUUGUCCGGAAUUAUUGGGCGUAAAGAGCUUGUAGGCGGUUUGUCGCGUCUGCCGUGAAAAUUCGAGGCUCAACCUCGAACUUGCGGUGGGUACGGGCGGACUUGAGUACUGCAGGGGAGACUGGAAUUCCUGGUGUAGCGGUGAAAUGCGCAGAUAUCAGGAGGAACACCGGUGGCGAAGGCGGGUCUCUGGGCAGUAACUGACGCUGGAGGAGCGAAGAC